ACGUACACUCCUGCGGGAGGCAGCAGUGGGGAAUAUUGGACAAUGGGCGCAAGCCUGAUCCAGCCAUGCCGCGUGAGUGAUGAAGGCCCUAGGGUUGUAAAGCUCUUUCACCGGUGAAGAUAAUGACGGUAACCGGAGAAGAAGCCCCGGCUAACUUCGUGCCAGCAGCCGCGGUAAUACGAAGGGGGCUAGCGUUGUUCGGGUUUACUGGGCGUAAAGCGCACGUAGGCGGACUAUUAAGUCAGGGGUGAAAUCCCGGGGCUCAACCCCGGAACUGCCUUUGAUACUGGUAGUCUUGAGUUCGAGAGAGGUGAGUGGAAUUCCGAGUGUAGAGGUGAAAUUCGUAGAUAUUCGGAGGAACACCAGUGGCGAAGGCGGCUCACUGGCUCGAUACUGACGCUGAGGUGCGAAAGCGUGGGGAGCAAACAGGAUUAGAAACCCGGGUAGUCCCAUGAU
rnacentral:rRNA from 1 species